rnacentral:rRNA from 1 species
AUGGAGGUGACGGCCAUCAGCAUUGGCAAGUCCGUGUUGAGCGGGGCGCUCAACUAUGCCCAGUCAGCUGUGGCUGAGGAGGUGGCUCUGCAGCUCGGUGUCCAGCGUGACCACUCCUUCAUCUCGGACGAGCUCGAGAUGAUGCAGUCAUUCCUGAUGGCUGUUCACGACGAGAGAGACGACAAUAGGGUGGUCAGGACUUGGGUGAAACAAGUCCGUGACAUCUCCUACUCCGUCGAGGACUGCCUCCUGGAUUUUGCUGUCCGUCUCGAGAAGCAAUCCUGGUGGUGUCUCUCUCGCAAGGUGCUGGCCCGCCGUUAUGUGGCGAUGCAGAUGAAGGAGCUCAGAGCCAAGGUGGAGGAGGUCAGCCAGAGGAACCAACGGUAUCACCUCAUCAAGGGCUCUAGCUCCAAACCCACCUCUGCUAUUGGGCAACCUAUCAACUCCAGUGCGACAAUGUCUGCUGCCGAGGAUGCAAGGCUGCGGCGGCAGAAAGCAAAAUUGGAUCUGGUCAAGUUGAUCAAUUGCAAGGGUGACACACUUCAAGUGAUAGCGUUCUGGGGCACAAGUAGUAGUGAUCUGGGGGAGACGUCCAUCAUCAAAAGUGCCUAUGAAGAUCAUAUGGUACACACGAAUUUUGAUUGUUGUGCUUGGAUCACAUUGAUGUACCCUUUCAAUCAGACAGAUUUUAUUCGAAGCAUCAUUAGGCAAAUUUAUGUUAAUUCUCUUCAAGAAACAGGAGAAGAAGGAAAAUCAGCUAUUGGGGCCCAAGUUUUGAGGAUGAUGGCAACGAUGAAAGAAGAUAGUUUGGCUCAUGAGUUCAAGAGAUAUUUGAAUUUCAAGAGUUACCUAAUUGUACUCAAUGGCAUACACACCAUUGAAGAGUGGGAUUGCAUUAAAACAUGUUUCCCAAACAACAAGAAAGGAAGUCGAAUCAUAGUAUCCACUGAGAAAGUUGAAGUUGCAAGCUUAUGCAUAGGAGCAGAGGAUGAAGCUCUGGUGCAUAAGAAGUUAUUUGUUGAUCGAUUUCUUUAUGCUUUCUACAGUAAGGUAUUUAAGGAGGCUGUAAGUUUGGAUGAGCGACAUCCAGAGUUGGUUGAACCAGCAAGACUGAUAUUGAAGAAGUGCAAAGGGCUUCCCCUUGCACUAGUCAUCAUAGGUGGCUUCUUAGCAAACCAACCAAAAACUGCUUUUGAAUGGAAAAAAAUGAAUGAGCAUAUCAGUGCUGAGUUGGAGAUGAAUCGAGAACUUGAGACCAUAAAAGCAAUACUCAUGAAAAGCUAUGAUGGUUUACCCUAUUACCUCAAGGCUUGUUUCUUGUAUCUGGCCAUCUUUCCCGAAGACCAGCAGAUUGCACGGAGACGCUUAGUGCGUCGUUGGAUUGCAGAGGGUUACUCAAGUGAGAUGCGUGGCAGGUCUGUAGCGGAAGUAUUGGAGUCUUACUUCAUGGAACUCAUAAGCAGGAGCAUGAUCCUGCCAUCUCAACAGUCAAUUCAUAGUAGGAAAGGAAUUGACUCCUGCCAUGUCCAUGAUCUCAUUCGUGAAAUUGCCAUCUCAAAGUCUAUGGAGGAAAAUCUGGUUUUCACAUUGGAGGAAGGGUGCAGUUUAAAUAACCAAGGCACAGUGCGUCAUCUUGCUAUAAGCAGUAAUUGGAAUGGGGAUCAGUGUGAGUUAGAGAAUAUAGUAGACUUGUCCCGUGUACGCUCACUGACAGUGUUUGGAAAUUGGAGGCCAUUUUACAUUUCUGAUAAGAUGAGGUUGCUACGAGUGCUGGAUUUGGAAGGCAAGUGGGAUCUAGUUGAUCAUCACCUUCAGCACAUUGGCAAGCUUGUACAUCUUAGAUAUGUUUCGCUAAGGGGACAAGCUUCCAUAUUUCACCUGCCAAAUUCGCUGGGGAACCUGAGGCAGCUCCACACAUUAGAUAUUUCAGGUACAAGCAUAAUAAAACUACCAAGUUCCAUCAUCAAUCUUGAGAAGAUGGAACACAUUCUUGCUAGUGGCACAACAAAUGCAAUGAGCCAUACAAAUGCAAAUAAUCAGUCGCUGCUGGAUUUCACUUUAGAUUCAGUGUCAUGUUGUGUGGCAUGUUGUGCACCUAGGAUUGUAAAAAAAGAUCUCUAUCUUGAUGAUGGUGCACAACUUAACAGGCGUGAUAUAUGCACUGUGUUCUGCUGCAACAUAUUACCUUAUUAUGUGGCAGGACGAAAUCCAGGUGGUGUUGAAGUGCCAAGGGGAAUCUGGAAACUGAAGGCCCUGCACACACUGCAUACUGUGGAUGUCUCAAUGAGGAAGGAUGUUACACAAGAUAUAAAAAAGCUCACCCGGUUGCGCAAGUUAGGAGUGAUAGGCAUCAACAAGAGAAACAGUCAGGAGUUGUGUCCAGCAAUUGCAUGUCUCAGCAGCCUGGAGUCCUUGUCACUGCAGUCAUACGAAGCGACAGGUUUAUCCGGCUGCUUGGAUGGGCUGUCCUCACCUCCAGAAAACCUGCAGAGCCUCAAGUUGUUAGGCAACCUGGUUAAACUGCCGGAGUGGAUCCAGGGCCUCAAAAAUCUCGUGAAGCUGAAGCUAAAGCAGUCGAGGAUAUCGGAGCAUGAUGCGGCCAUACAAGUCCUUGGGAACCUACCAAAACUGGCCACCCUACAUCUAUUGGUUGACUCGUUUGCUGGUGAAGAGGUCCGUUUCAGUUUCCGUCGGGAGGCAUUCCUGAGCCUGAAGGUGCUGCAGCUGGAUCGGAUAAAAAACCUCAAGUCGGUGGGAUUUGAAGAAGGAGCAGCCCCUAAGCUUGAGUUGCUACAGUAUACUGGUUGGAUCGGUACCAAUGUUGCUGGGUUGUUUAGUGGGUUAGCAUAUCUCCCAAAUCUCAAGGAAUUUAUGCUGUCUAGGAGGCACUGGGAGAAGACUGAGCGCAUGGAACACUUGCGAGGCCAGCUGGCAGAGAAUCAAAACGGGCCCGUUUUGAAGAGCUUGUAG